rnacentral:rRNA from 1 species
CCUACGGGAGGCAGCAGUGAGGAAUAUUGGUCAAUGGACGCAAGUCUGAACCAGCAAUGCCGCGUGCAUGAAGACGGCUCUAUGAGUUGUAAACUGCUUUUUUACAAGGGUAAACCUGAAUACGUGUAUUCAGCUGAAAGUACUGUACGAAUAAGGAUCGGCUAACUCCGUUCCAGCAGCCGCGGUAAUACGGAGGAUCCAAGCCUUAUCCGGAUUUGUUGGGUUUAAAGGGUGCGUAGGCGGAUCGAUAAGUUAGAGGUGAAAUGCACGGGCUUAACCCGGGAACUGCAUUGAAUACUGUGGACCUUGAGAGUAGAUGCGGUAGGCGGAAUGUAUGGUGUAGCGGUGAAAUGCUUAGAUAUCAGACAGAACACCGAUUGCGAAGGCAGCUUACUAAUCUAUAUCUGACGUUGAGGCACGAAAGCGUGGGGAGCAAACAGGAUUAGAUACCCGUGUAGUC